AAAGGUAAGCUACUAAGAGCGAAUGGUGGAUGCCUUGACUGGUAAAGGCGAUGAAGGACGUACUAGACUGCGAUAAGCUACGGGGAGCUGUCAAGAAGCUUUGAUCCGUAGAUUUCCGAAUGGGGCAACCCAAUGUAUAGAGAUAUACAUUACCUAUAUAGGAGCGAACGAGGGGAAUUGAAACAUCUUAGUACCCUCAGGAAAAGAAAUCAAUAGAGAUUGCGUCAGUAGCGGCGAGCGAAAGCGCAAGAGGGCAAACCCAGUGCUUGCACUGGGGGUUGUAGGACUGCAAUGUGCAAGAGGUGAGUUUAGCAGAACAUUCUGGAAAGUAUAGCCAUAGAGGGUGAUAGUCCCGUAUGCGAAAAACAAACCUUAGCUAGCAGUAUCCUGAGUAGGGCGGGACACGAGAAAUCCUGUCUGAAGCUGGGUCGACCACGAUCCAACCCUAAAUACUAAUACCAGAUCGAUAGUGCACAAGUACCGUGAGGGAAAGGUGAAAAGAACUGAGGUGAUCAGAGUGAAAUAGAACCUGAAACCAUUUGCUUACAAUCAUUCAGAGCCCUAUGUAGCAAUACAGGGUGAUGGACUGCCUUUUGCAUAAUGAGCCUGCGAGUUGUGGUGUCUGGCAAGGUUAAGCAAACGCGAAGCCGUAGCGAAAGCGAGUCUGAAUAGGGCGCUUAGUCAGAUGCUGCAGACCCGAAACGAAGUGAUCUAUCCAUGAGCAAGUUGAAGCUAGUGUAAGAACUAGUGGAGGACUGAACCCAUAGGCGUUGAAAAGCCCCGGGAUGACUUGUGGAUAGGGGUGAAAGGCCAAUCAAACUUCGUGAUAGCUGGUUCUCUCCG
rnacentral:rRNA from 1 species